CCCUUAGAUGUUCUGGGCCGCACGCGCGCUACACUGACGAAUGCAACGAGCUUAUAACCUUGGCCGAAAGGUCUGGGUAAUCUCCAAAUUUCGUCGUGAUGGGGAUAGAUUAUUGCAAUUAUUAAUCUUCAACGAGGAAUGCCUAGUAAGCGCAAGUCAUCAGCUUGCGUUGAUUACGUCCCUGCCCUUUGUACAUACCGCCCGUCGCUCCUACCGAUUGAAUGGUCCGGUGAAGCGCUCGGACCGCGGCCUCUUGACGGUUUUCCGUCGAUUGGCUGUGGGAAGUUCGUUAAACCUUAUCAUUUAGAGGAAGGAGAAGUCGUAACA
rnacentral:rRNA from 1 species